GUCCACGCUGUAAACGAUGGGCGCUAGGUGUGGGGUUUUAAUCCCUCCGUGCCGCAGCUAACGCAUUAAGCGCCCCGCUUGGGGAGUACGGCCGCAAGGUUAAAACUCAAAGGAAUUGACGGGGCCCGCACAAGCGGUGGAGCAUGUGGUUUAAUUCGACGCAACGCGAAGAACCUUACCUAGGCUUGACAUCUGGGGAAUCUCAUGGAAACAUGGGAGUGCGGAGCAAUCUGAGCCCCAAGACAGGUGCUGCAUGGCUGUCGU
rnacentral:rRNA from 1 species